CCUACGGGUGGCAGCAGUCGAGAAUCAUUCACAAUGGGGGAAACCCUGAUGGUGCGACGCCGCGUGGGGGAAUGAAGGUCUUCGGAUUGUAAACCCCUGUCAUGUGGGAGCAAAUUAAAAAGAUAGUACCACAAGAGGAAGAGACGGCUAACUCUGUGCCAGCAGCCGCGGUAAUACAGAGGUCUCAAGCCUUGUUCCGAAUCACUGGGCGUAAAGCGUGCGUAGGCUGUUUCGUAAGUCGUGUGUGAAAGGCGCGGGCUCAACCCGCGGACGGCACAUGAUACUGGGAGACGAGAGUAAGGGAGGGGGAACCGGAAUUCUCGGUGUAGCAGUGAAAUGCGUAGAUAUCGAGAGGAACACUCGUGGCGAAGGCGGGUUCCUGGACAUUAACUGACGCUGAGGCACGAAGGCCAGGGGAGCGAAAGGGAUUAGAUACCCUGGUAGUC
rnacentral:rRNA from 1 species